AACUCUUCAGUCGUCAAAAAGAAACCCAGCAAACUCGUCUCUGUCAAUACACUCAUAUAUACAUAUAGAGAGAGAGAGUGAGUAAUUGUAGAGAGAGAAAAAGCAAAAAGAAAAAAAGCAAGGAGAAAGUGGGAGAGUUCUGGAAUCCCACCGUUUGCAGAACAACAGACCAGUCCUAGUCCAACAACUGAUAAAGAACUCGCUCCCAGCUUCGAGAACUAGGGUUUUCUUGAUCUGAAGCUGCUGGUAAUGGCGAGUCCUCAAUCGGAGAGAUUGGCUAUCACUCACACUCCAACAACACCUGGUUCUAGGGCUCUGCGGACCCCUCUCAGUGAUGAAGCGAUCUGGAUACGCCUUCGCGAGUCUGGGUUCGACGAGGAGUCUAUCAAACGGAGGGACAAGGCCGCACUCAUCGCCUAUAUAGCAAAGCUUGAAGUUGAGAACCAUGACCUUUACCAUCACAUGGGUCUUCUCAUUUCUGAAAAAAAGGAAUGGGUUUCCAAUUAUGAGCAAAUUAAAGGCUCUGCUGAAUCAGCUGAACUAAAGCACAAGCGGGAUCAGGCUGCACUCUCAUCUGCCUUAGCCGAAGCUAGGAAACGGGAGGAUAAUCUGAAGAAGGCUUUGGGAAUUGAGAAAGAAUGUGUCUCAAAUAUUGAGAAGGCAUUGCAUGAGAUGCGUGCAGAAUCUGCUGAGGCAAAAGUUUCAGCCGAGAGCAAAUUGGCUGAAGCACGAACUAUGAUGGAGGAUGCUCAGAAAAAGUUCACUGAGGCUGAGGCAAAGCUGCAUGCUGCAGAAUCCUUGGAAGCUGAAGCUAGCCGGUAUCACCGUGCUGCAGAAAGAAAGUUACAUGAAGUUGAAGGUCGUGAAGAUGAUCUUAGGAGGCGUAUCAUAUCAUCCAAGUCUGAUUAUGAUGCUAAAGAGAAAGAUAUCCUUCUUGAGAGGCAAUCGUUAAGUGAACGGCAGAAAACUCUGGAGCAAGCACAAGAAAGAUUACUUGAUGGACAAGCGUCGUUAAACCAAAGGGAGGAGUACAUAUUUACUAGAUCUCAGGAGUUAAACAAGCUUAAGGAAGAGAUUGAGGCUUCCAAAGCAAGCAUCGAGAAGGAAUUUAGAGCCCUGAAGGAGGAAAAAACCAAUCUGGAAAUUAAUGCAGCUUCCUUGUCAGCACGAGAGGAGGCUGUUAUCAAAAGGGAAUGUGAGCUGAACAAGAGAGAGGAAGAUCUACUUAUUCAACAAGGAAAGCUUACAAGCAAGGAAUCUGAUGAGAUUCGACAAGUUAUGGCUAAUAAUGAAGCUGUUUUGAAAGCAAGAUAUUCUGAAUUUGAAUCAGAGUUGGAGAUAAAGCGCAAAGUGGUGGAAGAGGAAAUGGAAGCCAAGAGACGGGCUUGGGAAUUGAAGGAGGUGGAUCUUCGUUACCAACAAGACUCAAUUGUGGAAAAAGAACAUGACUUGGAGGUUCAAUCAAGAGCAUUCGUGGAUAAGGAGAAGGAUUUGAUAGAGAAGACGAAUUUGCUUGACGAGAAAGAGAAAAGCCUUCUUGCUGCUGAAAGAGAAAUUGAGUUGAAGAAAACAUUUCUGCAGAAAGAAAAAGAAGAGAUCAAUAACAUGAAGCUUGGCCUUAGAAAGUCUUUGGAUUUACUGGAAGAAGAAAAGAAACAAGUCUUCCAUGCAGAGGAGAAAGUGGAGGCCAUGAAAAGUGAAACAAAUGAACUACUGCUCCUAGCAGUGAGACUUAAAGAAGAAAUCGAAUUGGUAAGAGCCCAGAAGCUGGAACUUGAGGCUGAGGCAGAUGAGCUAAAAGCAGAGAAGGGAAAGUUUGAAACAGAAUGGGAGUUGAUUGAUGAGAAAAGAGCGGAAUUACGAAGGGAAGCAGAACGUGUUGCUGAGGAGAGACUAUCCAUUUCCAAGUUUCUCAAGGAUGAGCACGAGAGCCUGAAAUUAGAGAAGGAUGCUCUGCAGGAUCAGUAUAAACAUGAUGUUGAGUCACUUUCUCGUGAUCGGGAAGCCUUCAUGAGUGAAAUGGAGCAUGAGCGCUCGGAGUGGUUCAGCAAGAUUCAGAAAGAACGUUCUGAUUUCUUGCUUGAAAUUGAGAUGCAGAAGAGGGAGCUGGAGAACUGUAUUGACAAGAGGCGUGAAGAAAUAGAAAGUUAUCUUAGGGAAAGCGAGAAAGCCUUUGAAGAAGAGAAGAAUAAAGAACUUCAGAAUAUCACCUCUCUCCGUGAAACAGUAGCAAAGGAAAUGGAGCAAGUUAAAUUGGAAAUGGAAAGGCUUGAUAAUGAGAGGUUGGCGAUCAAUUUGGAUCGUCAACAAAGGGAAAAGGAAUGGGCAGAACUUAACAAUUCCAUUGAAGAACUUAAGGUGCAAAGGCAGAAGUUGGAGAAACAAAGGGAAUUAUUGCAUGCAGACAGACAAGAGAUUCUUGCUCAGAUUGAUAACAUGAAGAAAUUGGAGGAUUUGAAAGUUCUCCCAGAUCGUAUUGCUGCACCUGAGAGACAACCUGAUCUACAGUCUAACUCACAAAGAGUUUAUGCAAAAAGGAAGAAGCAGUCAGCUAUGCAAGAUGCGGAAUUGAAUUUAGUUAGCAAAGUAAAUGGUGGUGUUGGUACUGGCCUUGAUUUGUCUGAUAAAAAAGGAUCACUUAUUGCUUCUCCUGCUAUCUCUGCUCCUUUUUCAUGGCUCAAACGAUGUGCUGAUACUCUGCUAGAGCAAACACAGAGCAACAAGAAAAGGAGGCAACAUAAAGGUGUUACCAUAACAUCAGAAGAGACUACUACCUCAUGUACCUUACCAAUCCAACCAAAUGCACCUGAGGAUGAGCCUGCAUUGAUGUCACACAACCGAACUCCAGUCGGUGCUGAGGAGACCACUGUUUAUAUAGAUAAGAUCAUCACAAUUCAUGAAAUUACCUCGGUGGAAAAUGUAAGAUGUUCUGGGGACAGUCAGCAUGAGCAAGAAGUUAUGUCUGAUGAUCCUGAUGAGAAGUGUGAAGAUCCUGGUGACCCCAUAGCAGAUAAUGAUGAGAAGGUUGAGCAAAAAGUUGAAAGAAAAACGAGGUCAAAACAGAGGAAAUAAAGAAGUAAAAUUCUGUUUGCUUUAUCUGGCUAGGGUUUACUGCCUGGGAUUCAGAAUAGUUACAUAAAAGUGUAAUACCGAACAGAGUCAGUAAUAUAGGGUUGGAGGGAUUAUUUUGUUGUGGCUGGUGACUUGUCCUACUAUAGGUUUAACAUGUAAAUGAUCAACAUGUAAAUGCUUAGUCUAUCUUAUGUUGGCUUUCACCUAAAAGGGGUGAUAUUUAGAGUGGAAUAUUAGUAGGAAUGUGUGGAAGCUUUUGUGUAAGAACUUCGUCUCUGGUCCUGAGUUAUGGGGUGGUUUGCUGUAUUAUUUCUGAAAUGUUGGGUGGUUUUUGCUGAAGUUACUUGUUAUAUGACUCGUCGAGAAUUGUCCUCGCGCAGAAGGGGAUUAGCUUAUUCAUGAUGCAGUUACCAUGUGAAUGUUAAUGGGGUGGUUUGCUGUAUUAUUUCUGAAAUGUUAGGUGGUUUUUGCUGAAGUUACUUGUUAUAUGACUCGUCGAGAAUUGUCCUCGCAUAGAAGGGGAUUAGCUUAUUCAUGAUGCAGUUACCAUGUGAAUGUUAAUGGUUUGAUGUUGUUUAACAAUGCUUAUUUUGUGGGGCUUCAAGAAAUUGAAUAUGUCAAGUGUUAUGUGCAA